CCUACGGGUGGCUGCAGUGGGGAAUAUUGCACACUGGGGGAAACCCUGAUGCAGCGACGCCGCGUGAGUGAAGAAGUAUUUCGGUACGUAAAGCUCUAUCAGCAGGGAAGACAAUGACGGUACCUGACUAAGAAGCCCCGGCUAACUACGUGCCAGCAGCCGCGGUAAUACGUAGGGGGCAAGCGUUAUCCGGCUUUACUGGGUGUAAAGGGAGCGUAGACGGCAGCGCAAGUCUGGAGUGAAAUCCCAUGGCUUAACCAUGGAACUGCUUUGGAAACUGUGCAGCUAGAGUGCAGGAGAGGUAAGCGGAAGUCCUAGUGUAGCGGUGAAAUGCGUAGAUAUUAGGAAGAACACCAGUGGCGAGGGCGGAUUACUGGACGAUAACUGACGGUGAGGCGCGAAAGCGUGGGGAGCAAACAGGAUUAGAUACCCGGGUAGUC
rnacentral:rRNA from 1 species